GACCUUGGACAAAUACUGAAACCCUCUUGGUGCCCACUACACAGGCAGGGGUGUCCAGACCUGCUCUAGGAAAGCCAGUGUUCUGUGGGGUUCAGCUCUAACACACCUGCCUGGAACUUCAGACUAAUGAAAUUGAAGUAUCCAAAUGAAGACCCUAGCAGUAUGGAGUAUAUGGAUACAGACGUUGCCAGCAGUCAGGAGGUGAUCCAGAAGACUCAUGGGAAUCUAUUUGAAGCUGCAUCAUUGAAGACAGUCCAGCAGAAGUUGGAGUUUUAAAGGAUAAAGUUCUUCAGGACCUAUAGCAGUUUACAGUCUGUAAAACCAUGUUACUGGGACUGAUUUAUGGACUGAACUUGAGCAACCCUCCUGAACUCAGGUACACAUUUGGAAUACUGAAGAAGUUAUUUCUGGAGCCACUUCCUGUUCCUGGAAUAAGGUUUGAUUGGUUGCCCAUGAAUGCCAAUUAGAAUUGUAUUUGCUAUUUUGUGUAAUUUUGUAAUGUGGUUUAAACUGUAUUUUACUGUGUGUAAUUAUUUAUUGCUUGUUUAACAAAUACACUUUGAUCAUUUGUGA